rnacentral:rRNA from 1 species
UACGUAGGGACCGAGCGUUGUCCGGAAUCAUUGGGCGUAAAGAGCGUGUAGGCGGCCCCUUAAGUCCUGCGUGAAAUCCUGCGGCUCAACCGCAGACGGUCGUGGGAAACUGGAGGGCUAGAGUGCGGGAGAGGAGAGUGGAAUUCCCGGUGUAGCGGUGAAAUGCGCAGAUAUCAGGAGGAACACCAAUGGCGAAGGCAGCUCGCUGGGACGGUACUGACGCUGAGACGCGAAAGCGUGGGGAGCAAACAGG